rnacentral:rRNA from 1 species
UACGUAGGGUGCGAGCGUUAAUCGGAAUUACUGGGCGUAAAGCGUGCGCAGGCGGUUCGUCAAGUUCGAUGUGAAAGCCCCGGGCUCAACCUGGGAACUGCAUUGGAAACUAGCGAGCUUGAGUGUGGCAGAGGGGGGUGGAAUUCCACGUGUAGCAGUGAAAUGCGUAGAGAUGUGGAGGAACACCGAUGGCGAAGGCAGCCCCCUGGGCUAACACUGACGCUCAGGCACGAAAGCGUGGGGAGCAAACAGG